GACGAACGCUGGCGGCGUGCUUAACACAUGCAAGUCGAACGGAAAGGCCCUGCUUUUGUGGGGUGCUCGAGUGGCGAACGGGUGAGUAACACGUGAGUAACCUGCCCUUGACUUUGGGAUAACUUCAGGAAACUGGGGCUAAUACCGGAUAGGAGCUCCUGCUGCAUGGUGGGGGUUGGAAAGUUUCGGCGGUUGGGGAUGGACUCGCGGCUUAUCAGCUUGUUGGUGGGGUAGUGGCUUACCAAGGCUUUGACGGGUAGCCGGCCUGAGAGGGUGACCGGCCACAUUGGGACUGAGAUACGGCCCAGACUCCUACGGGAGGCAGCAGUGGGGAAUAUUGCACAAUGGGCGGAAGCCUGAUGCAGCAACGCCGCGUGCGGGAUGACGGCCUUCGGGUUGUAAACCGCUUUCGCCUGUGACGAAGCGUGAGUGACGGUAAUGGGUAAAGAAGCACCGGCUAACUACGUGCCAGCAGCCGCGGUGAUACGUAGGGUGCGAGCGUUGUCCGGAUUUAUUGGGCGUAAAGGGCUCGUAGGUGGUUGAUCGCGUCGGAAGUGUAAUCUUGGGGCUUAACCCUGAGCGUGCUUUCGAUACGGGUUGACUUGAGGAAGGUAGGGGAGAAUGGAAUUCCUGGUGGAGCGGUGGAAUGCGCAGAUAUCAGGAGGAACACCAGUGGCGAAGGCGGUUCUCUGGGCCUCUCCUGACGCUGAGGAGCGAAAGCGUGGGGAGCGAACAGGCUUAGAUACCCUGGUAGUCCACGCUGUAAACGGUGGGUACUAGGUGUGGGGUCCAUUCCACGGGUUCCGUGCCGUAGCUAACGCUUUAAGUACCCCGCCUGGGGAGUACGGCCGCAAGGCUAAAACUCAAAGGAAUUGACGGGGCCCCGCACAAGCGGCGGAGCAUGCGGAUUAAUUCGAUGCAACGCGUAGAACCUUACCUGGGUUUGACAUGGAUCGGGAGCGCUCAGAGAUGGGUGUGCCUCUUUUGGGGUCGGUUCACAGGUGGUGCAUGGCUGUCGUCAGCUCGUGUCGUGAGAUGUUGGGUUAAGUCCCGCAACGAGCGCAACCCUUGUUCACUGUUGCCAGCACGUUAUGGUGGGGACUCAGUGGAGACCGCCGGGGUCAACUCGGAGGAAGGUGGGGGUGACGUCAAGUCAUCAUGCCCCUUAUGUCCAGGGCUUCACGCAUGCUACAAUGGCUGGUACAGAGAGUGGCGAGCCUGUGAGGGUGAGCGAAUCUCGGAAAGCCGGUCUCAGUUCGGAUUGGGGUCUGCAACUCGACCUCAUGAAGUCGGAGUCGCUAGUAAUCGCAGAUCAGCAACGCUGCGGUGAAUACGUUCCCGGGGCU
rnacentral:rRNA from 1 species